AGAGUUUGAUCAUGGCUCAGAAUGAACGCUGGCGGCAUGCCUAACACAUGCAAGUCGAACGAGACCUUCGGGUCUAGUGGCGCACGGGUGCGUAACGCGUGGGAAUCUGCCCUUGGGUCCGGAAUAACAGUGGGAAACUACUGCUAAUACCGGAUGAUGACGUAAGUCCAAAGAUUUAUCGCCCAGGGAUGAGCCCGCGUAAGAUUAGGUAGUUGGUGGGGUAAAGGCCUACCAAGCCGACGAUCUUUAGCUGGUCUGAGAGGAUGAUCAGCCACACUGGGACUGAGACACGGCCCAGACUCCUACGGGAGGCAGCAGUGGGGAAUAUUGGACAAUGGGCGAAAGCCUGAUCCAGCAAUGCCGCGUGAGUGAUGAAGGCCUUAGGGUUGUAAAGCUCUUUUACCCGGGAAGAUAAUGACUGUACCGGGAGAAUAAGCCCCGGCUAACUCCGUGCCAGCCGCCGCGGUAAUAC
rnacentral:rRNA from 1 species